rnacentral:rRNA from 1 species
GACGAACGCUGGCGGUGCGCCUAAUGCAUGCAAGUCGAACGAGAUCGCUUUCUUCGGAGAGCACAUAUCUAGUGGCGGACGGCUGAGUAACACGUAAGUAAUCUGCCCCGAAGAGGGGGAUAAUCCAGAGAAAUCUGGCCUAAUACCCCGUACCUUCCUUUCCAGCAGGCUGGAUUGGAAGAAAGGCUCCGGCCGCUUUGGGAGGAGCUUGCGGCUUAUCAGGUAGUUGGUGGGGUAAUGGCCUACCAAGCCGAAGACGAGUAACCGGUGUGAGAGCACGAUCGGUCAGAGGGGGACUGAGACACGGCCCCCACUCCUACGGGAGGCAGCAGCAGGGAAUCUUGCGCAAUGGGCGAAAGCCUGACGCAGCGACACCGCGUGGAGGAUGAAGGUCUUAGGAUUGUAAACUCCUUUUAUCAGGGAAGAGAAAGGACGGUACCUGAG